rnacentral:rRNA from 1 species
GAUCAUUACCGAGUAAGGGGUCCCCCGAGGGCCCCAACUCCCACCCUAUGUGUACGUACUCUGUUGCUUUGGCGGGCCCGGGAGGCCCAGGCACCCCGCGCCGGCUCGGGCUGGCGUGCGCCCGCCGAGGGACCCUGAAACCCUUCUUUGCCUGUACCGUCUGAGUUUUUGGCCAAACGUCGUAAAACUUUCAACAACGGAUCUCUUGGUUCUGGCACCGAUGAAGAACGCAGCGAAAUGCGAUAAGUAAUGUGAAUUGCAGAAUUCAGUGAAUCAUCGAAUCUUUGAACGCACAUUGCGCCCCCCGGUAUUCCGGGGGGUAUGCCUGUUCGAGCGUCAUUACACACCUCAAGCACCGCUUGGUGUUGGGCUCUCGUCCGCCCGGACGUGCCCGAAACUCCUCGGCGGUGACGCCUUUGCUUCAAGCGUAGUACAAGAUUUAUCUCCUCGCUUUGGAAGCGGAGGCCUCGCCCGCCAGACGACCCCAGUCCUUUCUCAAAGGUUGACCUCGGAUCAGGUAGGGAUACCCGCUGAACUUAAGCAUAUCAAUAAGCGGAGGAAAAGAAACCAACAGGGAUUGCCCCAGUAACGGCGAGUGAAGCGGCAACAGCUCAAAUUUGAAAUCUGGCCCCUCUGGGGCCCGAGUUGUAAUUUGCAGAGGAUGCUUCGGCGUUGGCUCCGGUCUAAGUUCCUUGGAACAGGACGUCACAGAGGGUGAGAAUCCCGUACGUGACCGGCCGCCUUCGCCGCGUGAAGCUCCUUCGACGAGUCGAGUUGUUUGGGAAUGCAGCUCUAAAUGGGAGGUAAAUUUCUUCUAAAGCUAAAUACCGGCCAGAGACCGAUAGCGCACAAGUAGAGUGAUCGAAAGAUGAAAAGCACUUUGAAAAGAGAGUUAAAAAGUACGUGAAAUUGUUGAAAGGGAAGCGCUUGCAACCAGACUUGACCGCGGUUGCUCAUCCGGCCUCUUCGGCCGGUGCACUCUUCCGCGGUCAGGCCAGCGUCAGUCUGGGCGGCCGGAUAAAGGCCCCGGGAAUGUAGCUCCUCUCGGGGAGUGUUAUAGCCCGGGGUGCAAUGCGGCCAGCCCGGACUGAGGUCCGC